UUGGCAAAUUCUUCAAUGGCCGACUUGCUAGAACGUAAUGUGAAGUCCUUUUGUUCAAAGAAGGGGUCAUGGCGAUUCCACUCAGAACGGGCUUGAAAGAAAAGACUCAUGAUACGAUAAAAAUAGCAUCCAGCAUAAAGCCAGGGAGCAUCGCCCCAAGUCAAUGGACCAACUUGUUCCAACUCCUCAUUAUAGUCAUCAAUAUCAGGCCCUUGACCGACAAGCGGCUUCAGAGGGCGAUUGUGUUGAAGAUCAUAUUUGAGUUGAUUAAGAAGGCUGAUUAUUUCCUUUCCUUGAGUAACAUAAGCAGCUUUAUCGGACAUUCCCGCCUCCAAUGCCUUUGAUAUGUUUCGAGAAACCUCGUCAAUCACAUUCGUAGCUAUAAUAGGCCAUUUUUUCAUGACACAU